CAGGGUAUAGACCCGAAACCCGGUGAUCUAGCCAUGGGCAGGUUGAAGGUUGGGUAACACUAACUGGAGGACCGAACCGACUAAUGUUGAAAAAUUAGCGGAUGACCUGUGGCUGGGGGUGAAAGGCCAAUCAAACCGGGAGAUAGCUGGUUCUCCCCGAAAGCUAUUUAGGUAGCGCCUCGUGAAUUCAUCUCCGGGGGUAGAGCACUGUUUCGGCUAGGGGGCCAUCCCGGCUUACCAACCCGAUGCAAACUGCGAAUACCGGAGAAUGUUAUCACGGGAGACACACGGCGGGUGCUAACGUCCGUCGUGAAGAGGGAAACAACCCAGACCGC
rnacentral:rRNA from 1 species